CUUGAUCGAGCCGAGUCGCAGCGGACGGCCGGCGGGCCGCUCCCGCCCGUACGUGGCGAGCAGGGCCUGGGCCUC
rfam:Streptomyces rubellomurinus strain ATCC 31215 contig-155, whole genome shotgun sequence.